rnacentral:rRNA from 1 species
UAUUGCUCUUCAACGAGGAAUUCCUAGUAAGCGUGAGUCAUCGCUCGCGUUGAUUACGUCCCCUGCCCUUUGUACACACCGCCCGUCGCUACUACCAUUGAAUGGCUUAGUGAGGUCUUCGGAUUGGCUUUUGGGAGCCGGCAACGGCACUCGAUUGCUGAGAAGUUGAUCAAACUUGGUCAUUUAGAGGAAGUAAAAGU